UGCUGGUACAUUAAUCAAUGAAGCAGUGUUAGCUAUGGAGUAUGGAGCAUCUUGUGAAGAUGUCGCCAGGGUCUGUCACGCUCACCCUACGGUUGCUGAAGCACUACGAGAGGCCAACCUAGCAGCUUACUGUGGGAAACCUAUCAACAUUUAAACAUACUUGGAAUGUACUUUUAACCUCCAGUAAAUGCUGCAGUGACUUUAUAUAAGAGAUUGAAACAGCAUAAUGAGGGAGUUGUCAAUAUUUUGGGAUUUGGUGUAGCUUUGAGAUGUGUGGAAGAUUUGACACAGUUGAAUAGUGAUUUGGGAUUACUUUUUAUCUGUCACUGCCUCAUUUAUAAUGUAUGGUAGGAUACAAGGCAAAAGCAACACACGGAGAGAGUAAUAUGGAAAUACAAUAAGACUGUCGUGGUAUGACAAAACGAUAUUUGAUAAGCUCCACAUAAAAAAAUAUAUACCUGGCUUGUAUAACACAAAGAUCCAGAAUGGUGACAUUCUUUCUCGUUUCUAAUAAAUGUUUAAAAAGGCAGAACAUUCAAAUAAUUUGCAUAAGAAAAUGUCAAUCUCCCUGUUCAUCAGCUUUAUAUCUCAAGUUCUGCUAGUUUAAGUUCUUUGCAUGAUCAAACUGAUCAGAGAAUCAGUUAUUGGUUUUUGUAAUGGUAUUAGUUCAUUAAAAGAAAAUGAAAUACACUCCUUAAGAGUUAUAACACACCGCUAAUGUAUUUAUAUGUAUUUCUUUUCUGGAUUAAAGAGCAUUAUUUAUCAUA
rnacentral:lncRNA from 1 species